rnacentral:rRNA from 1 species
ACCCCAUUGAGCUUUACUAUUAACUUGUAUUGCCAAAGCAAAUAAAAGGGAACUCUCCCUUGCUUUAUAAUAAAAUUGAGUAGACUAAGUGGGAAAAAAGGGAUGUUAGUCCCCUUUUUAUGGCCGAUUCAUUGGAUUGGGCCCCCAAAAGAUACCUUUUGGGGCCAUUGGCGUAGAGAGGGGGGAUCCGAUUUUCGGAUCGGCGCCGAAGGCGCCCAACCCUACUCGAUUUUUAUGAAAAACCACUCUUUUUAUUAGGAUUACUGGCUAAAACCGUACAAGUAAGGUAGUUUGGUUGGGGCGACCGCCUUCGAAAAAGUAUCGAAGGCGUACAUAAGAUUAAUCCGGGGGGGGUGUCCUUUUUUCACCCCCAAACAAACCGGGGGUAAUGCCCCAAAAAAGAUUAGUUUGACUGAGAGGGCUACAACCCGAACAGGCGCUUGGGGAUCGUUAGGAUCCCUGGGCCCGGUUUAUACCAAGGGGCCUAAUUGACCAGCGGGCUCCUUUUUAUUCCCGGGUCGAACCUAGCGGGUCAUAGUGAUCCGUUG